CCAAUAGCGUAUAUUAAAGUUGUUGCAGUUAAAAAGCUCGUAGUUGAAUUUCGGGGUUAGUAGGUUGGUCAUGCCUCUGGUAUGUACUGGUCUCACUGAUUCCUCCUUCCUGAUGAACCGUAAUGCCAUUAAUUUGGUGUUGCGGGGAAUUUGGACUGUUACUUUGAAAAAAUUAGAGUGUUUAAAGCAGGCUAACGCUCGAAUACAUUAGCAUGGAAUAAUAGAAUAGGACGGCAUGGUUCUAUUUUGUUGGUUUCUAGGAUCACCGUAAUGAUUAAUAGGGAUAGUUGGGGGCAUUAGUAUUCAAUUGUCAGAGGUGAAAUUCUUGGAUUUAUUGAAGACUAACUACUGCGAAAGCAUUUGCCAAGGAUGUUUUCAUUAAUCAAGAACGAAAGUUAGGGGAUCGAAGACGAUCAGAUACCGUCGUAGUCUUAACCAUAAACUAUGCCGACUAGGAAUCAGACGAUGUUAAUUUUUUAAUGACUCGUUUGGCACCUUACG
rnacentral:rRNA from 1 species